UGCAUUUGUGUUUGUGUUUGUUUAAUUAGUGGACAAACACUCAAAGACAGGUGCAAGAAUAAAUCCUCUUUUGCAACCCAAAACUCAUUGUGCAGUAUGAGUUUUGAUACAGAUAAGAAGGGACAUG
rnacentral:snoRNA from 15 species